rnacentral:SRP_RNA from 1 species
CACUGGCUCCUCCGCGACGACCAGCCGCAAACCCCGCCAGGCCCGGAAGGGAGCAACGGUAGCGGCGAUGUCGGGCGCCGGAGAUCAGGCUGGUGCGG